ACUGAAACAUCUAAGUACCCCGAGGAAAAGAAAUCAACCGAGAUUCCCCCAGUAGCGGCGAGCGAACGGGGAGGAGCCCAGAGCCUGAAUCAGUGUGUGUGUUAGUGGAAGCGUCUGGAAAGGCGCGCGAUACAGGGUGACAGCCCCGUACACAAAAAUGCACAUAUUGUGAGCUCGAUGAGUAGGGCGGGACACGUGGUAUCCUGUCUGAAUAUGGGGGGACCAUCCUCCAAGGCUAAAUACUCCUGACUGACCGAUAGUGAACCAGUACCGUGAGGGAAAGGCGAAAAGAACCCCGGCGAGGGGAGUGAAAAAGAACCUGAAACCGUGUACGUACAAGCAGUGGGAGCCUCUUAAUGGGGUGACUGCGUACCUUUUGUAUAAUGGGUCAGCGACUUAUAUUCUGUAGCAAGGUUAACCGAAUAGGGGAGCCGAAGGGAAACCGAGUCUUAACUGGGCGUUAAGUUGCAGGGUAUAGACCCGAAACCCGGUGAUCUAGCCAUGGGCAGGUUGAAGGUUGGGUAACACUAACUGGAGGACCGAACCGACUAAUGUUGAAAAAUUAGCGGAUGACUUGUGGCUGGGGGUGAAAGGCCAAUCAAACCGGGAGAUAGCUGGUUCUCCCCGAAAGCUAUUUAGGUAGCGCCUCGUGAAUUCAUCUCCGGGGGUAGAGCACUGUUUCGGCAAGGGGGUCAUCCCGACUUACCAACCCGAUGCAAACUGCGAAUACCGGAGAAUGUUAUCACGGGAGACACACGGCGGGUGCUAACGUCCGUCGUGAAGAGGGAAACAACCCAGACCGCCAGCUAAGGUCCCAAAGUCAUGGUUAAGUGGGAAACGAUGUGGGAAGGCCCAGACAGCCAGGAUGUUGGCUUAGAAGCAGCCAUCAUUUAAAGAAAGCGUAAUAGCUCACUGGUCGAGUCGGCCUGCGCGGAAGAUGUAACGGGGCUAAACCAUGCACCGAAGCUGCGGCAGCGACGCUUAUGCGUUGUUGG
rnacentral:rRNA from 1 species